UCGGAUAUGGUGUAACGGCUAUCAUCGUCACCUGUCUUUUAGGAUGCGGACUAUGUUCUUUCGCGGCAGCCAGGGGUUCGAUUCCCCGUAUCCGAA